GGUUAAGCGACUAAGCGUACACGGUGGAUGCCCUGGCAGUCAGAGGCGAUGAAGGACGUGCUAAUCUGCGAUAAGCGUCGGUAAGGUGAUAUGAACCGUUAUAACCGGCGAUUUCCGAAUGGGGAAACCCAGUGUGUUUCGACACACUAUCAUUAACUGAAUCCAUAGGUUAAUGAGGCGAACCGGGGGAACUGAAACAUCUAAGUACCCCGAGGAAAAGAAAUCAACCGAGAUUCCCCCAGUAGCGGCGAGCGAACGGGGAGCAGCCCAGAGCCUGAAUCAGUGUGUGUGUUAGUGGAAGCGUCUGGAAAGGCGUGCGAUACAGGGUGACAGCCCCGUACACAAAAAUGCACAUGCUGUGAGCUCGAUGAGUAGGGCGGGACACGUGGUAUCCUGUCUGAAUAUGGGGGGACCAUCCUCCAAGGCUAAAUACUCCUGACUGACCGAUAGUGAACCAGUACCGUGAGGGAAAGGCGAAAAGAACCCCGGCGAGGGGAGUGAAAAAGAACCUGAAACCGUGUACGUACAAGCAGUGGGAGCACGCUUAGGCGUGUGACUGCGUACCUUUUGUAUAAUGGGUCAGCGACUUAUAUUCUGUAGCAAGGUUAACCGAAUAGGGGAGCCGAAGGGAAACCGAGUCUUAACUGGGCGUUAAGUUGCAGGGUAUAGACCCGAAACCCGGUGAUCUAGCCAUGGGCAGGUUGAAGGUUGGGUAACACUAACUGGAGGACCGAACCGACUAAUGUUGAAAAAUUAGCGGAUGACUUGUGGCUGGGGGUGAAAGGCCAAUCAAACCGGGAGAUAGCUGGUUCUCCCCGAAAGCUAUUUAGGUAGCGCCUCGUGAAUUCAUCUCCGGGGGUAGAGCACUGUUUCGGCAAGGGGGUCAUCCCGACUUACCAACCCGAUGCAAACUGCGAAUACCGGAGAAUGUUAUCACGGGAGACACACGGCGGGUGCUAACGUCCGUCGUGAAGAGGGAAACAACCCAGACCGCCAGCUAAGGUCCCAAAGUCAUGGUUAAGUGGGAAACGAUGUGGGAAGGCCCAGACAGCCAGGAUGUUGGCUUAGAAGCAGCCAUCAUUUAAAGAAAGCGUAAUAGCUCACUGGUCGAGUCGGCCUGCGCGGAAGAUGUAACGGGGCUAAACCAUGCACCGAAGCUGCGGCAGCGACGCUUAUGCGUUGUUGGGUAGGGGAGCGUUCUGUAAGCCUGCGAAGGUGUGCUGUGAGGCAUGCUGGAGGUAUCAGAAGUGCGAAUGCUGACAUAAGUAACGAUAAAGCGGGUGAAAAGCCCGCUCGCCGGAAGACCAAGGGUUCCUGUCCAACGUUAAUCGGGGCAGGGUGAGUCGACCCCUAAGGCGAGGCCGAAAGGCGUAGUCGAUGGGAAACAGGUUAAUAUUCCUGUACUUGGUGUUACUGCGAAGGGGGGACGGAGAAGGCUAUGUUGGCCGGGCGACGGUUGUCCCGGUUUAAGCGUGUAGGCUGGUUUUCCAGGCAAAUCCGGAAAAUCAAGGCUGAGGCGUGAUGACGAGGCACUACGGUGCUGAAGCAACAAAUGCCCUGCUUCCAGGAAAAGCCUCUAAGCAUCAGGUAACAUCAAAUCGUACCCCAAACCGACACAGGUGGUCAGGUAGAGAAUACCAAGGCGCUUGAGAGAACUCGGGUGAAGGAACUAGGCAAAAUGGUGCCGUAACUUCGGGAGAAGGCACGCUGAUAUGUAGGUGAAGCGACUUGCUCGUGGAGCUGAAAUCAGUCGAAGAUACCAGCUGGCUGCAACUGUUUAUUAAAAACACAGCACUGUGCAAACACGAAAGUGGACGUAUACGGUGUGACGCCUGCCCGGUGCCGGAAGGUUAAUUGAUGGGGUUAGCGCAAGCGAAGCUCUUGAUCGAAGCCCCGGUAAACGGCGGCCGUAACUAUAACGGUCCUAAGGUAGCGAAAUUCCUUGUCGGGUAAGUUCCGACCUGCACGAAUGGCGUAAUGAUGGCCAGGCUGUCUCCACCCGAGACUCAGUGAAAUUGAACUCGCUGUGAAGAUGCAGUGUACCCGCGGCAAGACGGAAAGACCCCGUGAACCUUUACUAUAGCUUGACACUGAACAUUGAGCCUUGAUGUGUAGGAUAGGUGGGAGGCUUUGAAGUGUGGACGCCAGUCUGCAUGGAGCCGACCUUGAAAUACCACCCUUUAAUGUUUGAUGUUCUAACGUUGACCCGUAAUCCGGGUUGCGGACAGUGUCUGGUGGGUAGUUUGACUGGGGCGGUCUCCUCCUAAAGAGUAACGGAGGAGCACGAAGGUUGGCUAAUCCUGGUCGGACAUCAGGAGGUUAGUGCAAUGGCAUAAGCCAGCUUGACUGCGAGCGUGACGGCGCGAGCAGGUGCGAAAGCAGGUCAUAGUGAUCCGGUGGUUCUGAAUGGAAGGGCCAUCGCUCAACGGAUAAAAGGUACUCCGGGGAUAACAGGCUGAUACCGCCCAAGAGUUCAUAUCGACGGCGGUGUUUGGCACCUCGAUGUCGGCUCAUCACAUCCUGGGGCUGAAGUAGGUCCCAAGGGUAUGGCUGUUCGCCAUUUAAAGUGGUACGCGAGCUGGGUUUAGAACGUCGUGAGACAGUUCGGUCCCUAUCUGCCGUGGGCGCUGGAGAACUGAGGGGGGCUGCUCCUAGUACGAGAGGACCGGAGUGGACGCAUCACUGGUGUUCGGGUUGUCAUGCCAAUGGCACUGCCCGGUAGCUAAAUGCGGAAGAGAUAAGUGCUGAAAGCAUCUAAGCACGAAACUUGCCCCGAGAUGAGUUCUCCCUGACUCCUUGAGAGUCCUGAAGGAACGUUGAAGACGACGACGUUGAUAGGCCGGGUGUGUAAGCGCAGCGAUGCGUUGAGCUAACCGGUACUAAUGAACCGUGAGGCUUAACCUU
rnacentral:rRNA from 1 species